rnacentral:lncRNA from 1 species
CAAGGAAAAUACUCUAGUCACAUGCACCAGAUACAUGUGGGUUAGGGGGACCCAUUUAUUCAUUGGUCAAAUAUUUACUGAUGCCUCCUAAAUUCCAGGCUUUGUGCUAGAGAAACAGUGGUGAGCAAAAAAGCACAUUCUCUUUGUAUGGAAUUGGUCGACUUGUAAGAGGGAGAGAAGUAUUAAAAUAAUUACACAAAAAUAUGAGAUUAUAACUAAGAUGGGAGCUGUGAAGGAGUGGUUGGUAUCAUACAAGCCUAUCAUAGAGGGAAUUUACCUUGUCAGGGAAGGCUGGUCUCAGAAAUGAUGAAUUAAACUGAGCUUCUGAACGAAGAGUGGGAGUUACUUGGCAGAGGAGCAUAGAGAAGAGGCUUCCAGGCAGAGGAAGGCAGUAUGUGUUAGGAACUGUAUGAGAUUGCUAGUUUUAAAGAUCAAAAAUGGUUGAAUAUUAAAUAUUUCUCACGAUUCUACUUAUUUAUAGGCAUGCUAUGCAUGUGUCAAUAUCCAGAGCAUUCUGGCUAAUAGUAAGGUCUUCCUUACACACUUCUUACACUCUCAUUUUUAAAUAAAGCAGAUUGGAGCAUCAAGAACAGACAAGCUAAAAGUUAAAUGACAGUGAAAUAAGAGAGGUCAUUCAAGAGUGAAGGAUCCUUCAGAGAGGAUGAGUUCUAGAGAAACCGAGUAUCCCUAUUUCAAGACCUGUUCCGUACAUAUGGUUUCAUCAGGGAGAAAGCAUUAAUGCAAUGCUCCACCUCCCCCAGCACUGUUCUCCAGGACGCUGAAGCUGCCGAUGGAUUCCCAUUAAGGGGACACUGUGCCAGAUACCUGAUAUAUGGAAAUUUUUAA